GCCAUAGCUUAGUGGUAGAACAUCUGCUUUGCAUGCAGGAGGCCCCAGGUUCAAUCCAAAGCUACUUAGAAGGAGCA
rnacentral:tRNA from 1 species